UACGGGGGGAGCAAGCGUUGUUCGGAUUUACUGGGCGUAAAGGGCGCGUAGGCGGCCACCGCAAGUCGGUUGUGAAAUCUCCGGGCUUAACCCGGAAAGGUCAAUCGAUACUGCGGGGCUAGAGUGCAGAAGGGGGCAACUGGAAUUCUCGGUGUAGCGGUGAAAUGCGUAGAUAUCGAGAGGAACACCUGCGGCGAAGGCGGGUUGCUGGGCUGACACUGACGCUGAAGCGCGAAAGCUAGGGGAGCGAACGGG
rnacentral:rRNA from 1 species